rnacentral:rRNA from 1 species
GCUUUAAAAGUUUAAAUCUUUUUAAUAGCUCUUUUUCCGUUUGUCAUACCAUUAUUUUUUUGUUUUUGUUUUUUGUUUUAUAAAUAAUAAACAAAAAUGAAUAUAAAGGUAGUACAUUUUAUAAAUUUAAUUAAUUUAAUUAAUUUAAUUAAUUUAAUUUUAUAAUUAUAAAGGGGACAAAAAAGAUAUCCCGGUUUAAGUAAAAAGAAUAAAAUGAAUUAAAGCUAGGAUCAAAUUGAGGAUAAACCAAAUAAUACUUAGAGUAGGGCCGAUAUCCGCAGAUACUAAGGGGAAUACUAAAGGUGAAAG